rnacentral:rRNA from 1 species
ACGCUGGCGGCGUGCUUAACACAUGCAAGUCGAGCGGUAAGGCUCCUUCGGGAGUACACGAGCGGCGAACGGGUGAGUAACACGUGAGCAAUCUGCCCUUCACUUUGGGAUAACUCCGGGAAACCGGUGCUAAUACCGAAUGCGACCACUUCAGGCAUCUGACGGUGGUGGAAAGUUCCGGCGGUGAAGGAUGAGCUCGCGGCCUAUCAGCUUGUUGGUGAGGUAAUGGCUCACCAAGGCUUCGACGGGUAGCCGGCCUGAGAGGGUGACCGGCCACACUGGGACUGAGACACGGCCCAGACUCCUACGGGAGGCAGCAGUGGGGAAUAUUGGACAAUGGGCGAAAGCCUGAUCCAGCAACGCCGCGUGAGGGAUGACGGCCUUCGGGUUGUAAACCUCUUUCAGCAGGGACGAAGCGAAAGUGACGGUACCUGCAAAAGAAGCACCGGCCAACUACGUGCCAGCAGCCGCGGUAAUACGUAGGGUGCGAGCGUUGUCCGGAAUUAUUGGG